rnacentral:rRNA from 1 species
AGUGAACGCUGGCGGUAGGCCUAACACAUGCAAGUCGAGCGGCAGCACAGUAAGAGCUUGCUCUUACGGGUGGCGAGUGGCGGGCGGGUGAGGAAUACAUCGGAAUCUACUUUUUCGUGGGGGAUAACGUAGGGAAACUUACGCUAAUACCGCAUACGACCUACGGGUGAAAGCAGGGGAUCUUCGGACCUUGCGCGAUUGAAUGAGCCGAUGUCGGAUUAGCUAGUUGGCGGGGUAAAGGCCCACCAAGGCGACGAUCCGUAGCUGGUCUGAGAGGAUGAUCAGCCACACUGGAACUGAGACACGGUCCAGACUCCUACGGGAGGCAGCAGUGGGGAAUAUUGGACAAUGGGCGCAAGCCUGAUCCAGCCAUACCGCGUGGGUGAAGAAGGCCUUCGGGUUGUAAAGCCCUUUUGUUGGGAAAGAAAAGCAGCAGGUUAAUACCCCGCUGUUCUGACGGUACCCAAAGAAUAAGCACCGGCUAACUUCGUG